rnacentral:tRNA from 1 species
GUGUUUGUAGCUCAGUGGUAGAGUGCUUGCGUAUCAUGUAAGGCGCUGGGUUCAUCAUCAGCACCACUUAAAAGUAAAUAAAUAAAAUAAAGUGUAAAAAGUACAAUAACAUUAUUUUUAAAAUACAAAAAUAGCGAGGAGGCUCAAUGGCAAAACACCUAUAAUCCCAACAAUUUGGGAAGCUGAGACAAGAGUAUCACAAGUUCAAGUCUAGCCUCGGCAACU